UUCAGCUGGGAAAGCUGCUGUUCAGCUAAGUGUUUUCGUAGAUGAAACAAAGCUGCAAUCCCACUUGGCAUUCGCAUUAAUUGUGGACUUGCCAACAGGCCAGUUUCACUGGUGUAUAAAUUAGUGGAGAAUUAUUCAACUCAUCUCAAUAACUAAGAGAAUAUCCUCAUAAAGCUCGCUGAGCGGUAAGACAUGCCCCCUCCCCCCUACUUUCCAGUGUAUUUUGCACCCUAUACUUAGAAAAAUCACAGAAUUUGCAUGCUGUUCUGCAAAAAAAAAAGUACAAAGAAAGACAUCUAAUAUACUAACUAUACUGAUACCACAGCAGAGCAAUAUGGUGACUAUCUGCAUAAAAUAGCAAGUUUGUGUGGAUCGGAAACUGUCCAAAUUAAGAGGGAAUUUUCUGGUUUGUUGUUUGAGUGUUGAGUUUGGGUGGUGUAUUUCUUUUUCUUUUUGAAAUUCAGCUGAAAUUGUGAAGUGAAAGCGCAUGUGAAAUGUGCCUUGCUGCCAGCGUUAGACACCCGACAUUUCAUGUCUCUCCGGCAAAACAAGAGCCUGGGAAGUGCAAACUUCCCCGAACUGUCCUGCCAACAGGCCUUUCUGACCUAAAGGGGGAUCACCUUUGUGGUGACAGCAUAAUUUGAUCUCUGUGCCAUCUAAUCCUUAUUUUCCGUACUGAGGCUGCCAGCAAGGGUGCCAAUUAGAGCCAAUUGUGAUGGUGGCUUUUGUGAUGCAGACACCUGCCCACUAGGAAUUGGACUGGUACCACCAACACACAUAUGCCACUAAACAGCUGUCAGAUGAGAGCUGUGGUCCAUGAGGAACAUGUUUGUCCUGUGGCCAGAACCUACCCUGAAUGUCACAGAUGUGAAAGGAAUGGCAACCAGCAUGCAUGGGAGACGUAGCAGCACACCUGCAGAGGCUUCAUCCACUUGUGUUUCGGUGUGCAGCACUGGCUUGCAGCAGGCACUGGUGGGCUGUGCAGGAGGCACCAUUCCCACCCCUUGAAAGCAAAAUGAAAAGGUGAUGUUACAGCUAAAAGAUGGCCUGGGAUGUGGGUGAUUCAGCUGUGUGCCAACAUGUCCCUCAUGCAAAAAGUGGAGUGGGGAGAACAAACUUCUUCCCUCUUGUCACUUGUCCUCCUGGCUUGGAGACGGGUGUUUUCGGGAUGAUCCUGUGGAAAAGGGGUGGACGGGAGAUGAGGAGAGGGAUGGGGAUAGCACACAUAUGAAGAGAUCUUGUGCUCCUCAAGAUUGCUCAGGCAUCUUCAUGCAGCCUUACAGCUGCCUUGACCCCUUCAAAUGCAACUCUCCCCACCCUUGCAGCUAAUUCCCAGCUUCUUGACCCCGAUCUCUGUAGUGAUCCAGAAAUAAAGUCUGUCAAACCUGGCAGAGGACACAGCUGCACGUGAGGAUCAACUUCAUGACUGGGGUAGGCUCAGUCUUUAGCGUCACUUAUUUUUCAGGUCUGAAGGUAUUUUCCUGGUUUAUAGUGUUUGCUAAUUUGGUUUGAGAGCGCACAAUAUGGUAAACUGCAGGAUAGAGAGGAUAGAGUAUGUAAUCCAGAAAUCCAUUUCAGGUUAGAGCCAUAAUUAGCUAAUGUAAGAUAAUAAAUAGCUACUAAAAUCACAUGAAAAAUAUGAUAGUGCUAUAAAGCCUGUUUUUAUAAUCCUGCUCCUCCCCUUUUCUGCCUCCUCCUCCUCCUCUUCAGUGUAACAAGGACCGUAAUAGGCUUCAUGUAUAAGUGCCUAUUUUUAUUAAAGACAAGUGUAAUCUUUUGUAGUCCAAAUGUCCCUAUCAUAAAUGCUAACUGAGGAAAAUAUUAGGACUCAUUUAUUUAUGAACCUGUUAAUAAUGAGGUGCAGUUAUGAAAAAGGCUUUCUCAGCACAAAGCCUACUGAACAAACAAUGCACACUGGGGGAGAAAGAGCUAGUUAGCCUUCUUGACUUAGAUAAAGCUAUGGAGAAAUGACAAGUGCCAGUAAUUAGCAAAGCCUCUUCAACAAGAUAACCCUAUACAUCUUUGUCUAUUUCAAUCACCAAAGACUCCGAUUCAGUGUAAAAUUAAAGCUGGGAUGCCAUCAAUUUCUGUUAACCUCUUUAUAUUGUUCUGUGUUCAUGCAUAUGUGAUAGAUAGUUUUUGUCAUUUUAUUAAAUGGUGACAUCUCAGUAUGCAUGUGACUAAAACUGUUUCUCCUUAGCAAAG